rnacentral:rRNA from 1 species
ACGCUGGCGGCAGGCCUAACACAUGCAAGUCGAACGGUAGCACAGAGAGCUUGCUCUCGGGUGACGAGUGGCGGACGGGUGAGUAAUGUCUGGGGAUCUGCCCGAUAGAGGGGGAUAACCACUGGAAACGGUGGCUAAUACCGCAUAACGUCGCAAGACCAAAGAGGGGGACCUUCGGGCCUCUCACUAUCGGAUGAACCCAGAUGGGAUUAGCUAGUAGGCGGGGUAAUGGCCCACCUAGGCGACRAUCCCUAGCUGGUCUGAGAGGAUGACCAGCCACACUGGAACUGAGACACGGUCCAGACUCCUACGGGAGGCAGCAGUGGGGAAUAUUGCACAAUGGGCGCAAGCCUGAUGCAGCCAUGCCGCGUGUAUGAARAAGGCCUUCGGGUUGUAAAGUACUUUCAGCGGGGAGGAAGGCGAUGCGGUUAAUAACCGCGUCGAUUGACGUUACCCGCAGAAGAAGCACCGGCUAACUCCGUGCCAGCAGCCGCGGUAAUACGGAGGGUGCAAGCGUUAAUCGGAAUUACUGGGCGUAAAGCGCACGCAGGCGGUCUGUUAAGUCAGAUGUGAAAUCCCCGGGCUUAACCUGGGAACUGCAUUUGAAACUGGCAGGCUUGAGUCUUGUAGAGGGGGGUAGAAUUCCAGGUGUAGCGGUGAAAUGCGUAUAGAUCUGGAGGAAUACCGGUGGCGAAGGCGGCCCCCUGGACAAAGAC